rnacentral:rRNA from 1 species
AUUGAACGCUGGCGGCAUGCCUUACACAUGCAAGUCGAACGGCAGCACGGGAGCAAUCCUGGUGGCGAGUGGCGAACGGGUGAGUAAAGUAUCGGAACGUGCCCAGUCGUGGGGGAUAACGUAGCGAAAGUUACGCUAAUACCGCAUACGAUCUAUGGAUGAAAGCGGGGGAUCGCAAGACCUCGCGCGAUUGGAGCGGCCGAUAUCAGAUUAGGUAGUUGGUGAGGUAAAGGCUCACCGAGCCGACGAUCUGUAGCUGGUCUGAGAGGACGACCAGCCACACUGGGACUGAGACACGGCCCAGACUCCUACGGGAGGCAGCAGUGGGGAAUUUUGGACAAUGGGCGAAAGCCUGAUCCAGCCAUGCCGCGUGCAGGAUGAAGGCCUUCGGGUUGUAAACUGCUUUUGUACGGAACGAAAAGGUUUGGCCUAAUAAGCUGAGCUCAUGACGGUACCGUAAGAAUAAGCACCGGCUAACUACGUGCCAGCCGCCGCUGUAA